AGCUUAUCAAGAGAAGUGGAGGGACUGGCCCGACGAAGCUUCGGCAACAUGGUCACGCGUGUGCCAAUUCCAGUAGCAAUGAUUUGCUUGAAGAUAAGGU
rnacentral:ncRNA from 2 species